CAUCUGAAUAGUAUAGAUACUUUUUUAUAUUUUUCUUUAAAUUUUAUGUUAUUUUUUUAAUAAUAAAUUUUAUAUUUUUUUAAUAUACUCUUGUGUAAUACACAUUAAAAAAAUUAAUUUCAAGAAUGUAUUUUGUGAUAGAACAAUAUAAUUUUUAUUUAGUACGCAUUAAAAAUGUAAAAUUUAUUAUUACUUUUCAAGAAUAUAUUUCAAGGAACAAUGUAAAAUCUGACCCGGUCCACUAUAUAGAUGAGACCAUUUUCCUGCGUCUUGCCUACCAAGGGAAUGAAAAUAAUCCAAUAAGAUCCGCGAAGAACGCGUUAGAUUCGCCGAUUGCCAUUCACAAAGGUUGGAAAAGGAAGGCAGGCAAAGAUCUUCGAUCGUUAUAUUUCGGCUUUAAAGGUUUUAGGGUUCUCAAAUCGAAUCGAAAAUGGCAGGAGAAACAGCUAUCUUCAAGUUCCUGAAGCCUAGGCUUCGUCCUCAACCCACUGACGUCCAGGCCGCCGCCUUCUGGGGCGUCGCCGCCGCAUCCGCUGCUCUUUAUCUCAUCCAGCCAUUUGAUUGGAUUAAGAAGACCUUUUUCGAGAAUGGGGAGCCUGGGGGAAACUGAAUAGGGGAUCAGAUUUCUGAAUAACUUUUUCAUUUCUUUCUUCAGGCUGACAAUGAAAAAUGAUGAGUGAAGUUGGUAUGAAUAAUGUUGUUCCAUUUUCUAGUUAUUGCUGAGGCCUUUUUGGCUUUAGUUCCUGGGGUGACUGGACAAUUUUAAAUCUGAAUGGUUGCAUUAUUUUAAUUGCCUCAA